GACGAACGCUGGCGGCGUGCUUAACACAUGCAAGUCGAACGGAAAGGCCCUGCUUUUGUGGGGUGCUCGAGUGGCGAACGGGUGAGUAACACGUGAGUAACCUGCCCUUGACUUUGGGAUAACUUCAGGAAACUGGGGCUAAUACCGGAUAGGAGCUCCUGCUGCAUGGUGGGGGUUGGAAAGUUUCGGCGGUUGGGGAUGGACUCGCGGCUUAUCAGCUUGUUGGUGGGGUAGUGGCUUACCAAGGCUUUGACGGGUAGCCGGCCUGAGAGGGUGACCGGCCACAUUGGGACUGAGAUACGGCCCAGACUCCUACGGGAGGCAGCAGUGGGGAAUAUUGCACAAUGGGCGGAAGCCUGAUGCAGCCACGCCGCGUGCGGGAUGACGGCCUUCGGGUUGUAAACCGCUUUCGCCUGUGACGAAGCGUGAGUGACGGUAAUGGGUAAAGAAGCACCGGCUAACUACGUGCCAGCAGCCGCGGUGAUACGUAGGGUGCGAGCGUUGUCCGGAUUUAUUGGGCGUAAAGGGCUCGUAGGUGGUUGAUCGCGUCGGAAGUGUAAUCUUGGGGCUUAACCCUGAGCGUGCUUUCGAUACGGGUUGACUUGAGGAAGGUAGGGGAGAAUGGAAUUCCUGGUGGAGCGGUGGAAUGCGCAGAUAUCAGGAGGAACACCAGUGGCGAAGGCGGUUCUCUGGGCCUUUCCUGACGCUGAGGAGCGAAAGCGUGGGGAGCGAACAGGCUUAGAUACCCUGGUAGUCCACGCUGUAAACGGUGGGUACUAGGUGUGGGGUCCAUUCCACGGGUUUCGUGCCGUAGCUAACGCUUUAAGUACCCCGCCUGGGGAGUACGGCCGCAAGGCCAAAACUCAAAGGAAUUGACGGGACCCCGCACAAGCGGCGGAGCAUGCGGAUUAAUUCGAUGCAACGCGUAGAACCUUACCUGGGUUUGACAUGGAUCGGGAGUGCUCAGAGAUGGGUGUGCCUCUUUUGGGGUCGGUUCACAGGUGGUGCAUGGCUGUCGUCAGCUCGUGUCGUGAGAUGUUGGGUUAAGUCCCGCGACGAGCGCAACCCUUGUUCACUGUUGCCAGCACGUUAUGGUGGGGACUCAGUGGAGACCGCCGGGGUCAACUCGGAGGAAGGUGGGGAUGACGUCAAGUCAUCAUGCCCCUUAUGUCCAGGGCUUCACGCAUGCUACAAUGGCUGGUACAGAGAGUGGCGAGCCUGUGAGGGUGAGCGAAUCUCGGAAAGCCGGUCUCAGUUCGGAUUGGGGUCUGCAACUCGACCUCAUGAAGUCGGAGUCGCUAGUAAUCGCAGAUCAGCAACGCUGCGGUGAAUACGUUCCCGGG
rnacentral:rRNA from 1 species